rnacentral:lncRNA from 1 species
AUGAAACCGUGGAAGCUGGACUGGCUUGCACGAUCAUUGAUAAUUGGGAAGUUCCAUGAUCUGAAAACCCAGGACCCAGAGAAGCCAGAGACAUCGUUCAGUCUGAGUCUGAAACCUUGGGAGUCAAUGGAGCUAUUGAGGAUCUCCUGUAGCCUAGCAGUCUGGUCUCCUCUUGUCACACAACUGGAGAUGGCCUUGAACUUCUGGUCUCUGUCCUCCAUUUCUCAAGUCCUGGGACUGCAGGCUUGCAAUCUCACAUCUGAGCCCAGAUGUUUCUUGCAGCGGAGCCCAGAGUUUUCUGCAUGUUAGAUAUUCUUCACAGCUCAAGAAAACAGGAGAGCCCUUAGGCUCAGGGUGAGCUGGGCUGCUGAAUCAAGGUGGAGAUCAACUAAGCUCCAAACACAGAGAAAUGUGGAACUCGUUCAACGUAAUCUACUGAGCCCUGCCUAAACCAGGAAAACUAAGGUGCACUAGUAGGGAGCAAGGGACAACUGUUAGCAUCAUCUGGACUAGAUGCAUCUCAGAAAAACAACAGCAACAGCAAUAGCAACAACAAUAGCAUCAAGAGCAACAGCAACAAGAGAAACAACAGCAACAACACAACAGCAACAGCAGCAACAACAGUAACGACAGCAACAACAACAGCCAAAAACCGAAAAUGGCUUGAUUUAGCCCAGAAAACACUGGGGGCUGGAGAGAUGGUUCAUCAGUCAAGAUCAUGGACUGCUCUUCCAGAGGUCCUGAGUUCAAUUCCCAGCAACUACAUGAUGAUUCACAACCAUCUGUAAUGGGGUCCAGUGCCCUCUUCUGGAUCCAGUGCGGUCAGAUGGCAUGUGGAAGGAUGCUGUAAAUGACCAGCUGCUCUGCUUACUCUGACAACGAUAAGUCCUCUGUUCCAUUCUCUUCUCACAAAGAACCUGUACCAGUCUAGCCAGGCCUCCAUAACCAAAUGCUACAGGCUGGGUCAUUUACCCAAGAGAAAUGCUUUACUCAAAUUUUUGGAGAUGUGGGAUUCCAUGAUCAAGGUGCUGGCCAGUUUUCUAGUCCAAAGUCUAUAGAGGAGGAAAGUCAACCUUUGAGCACAUCUGACAUUAAGAAGAUACUACUAUUCCAGUUAAUGUGUCUGGCUCAACACUUGACCAAAGAAUGUUGUGACUUUGCUACCCACUGAGCCCACUCAGAAAACAAGGCACAAGCCCGUUCUUCACCGUAAAGCUCACACUCCCUCG